UGUUGAGACAGUCAGCCCAUAAGCUAAGGACCCAUGACCUUAGGAAGGGGUAUUCUAAAAAAAAUAAUCAGAUUUUUCCCAUUCUGCAUUUUCCUUUCUCUCUCUAGACAGAGCUCUUUUCUUCCUAAGAAGGUGCUCUGCCUUCUCUCUAAAAGAUCUAGACACUGAACCGUUUAAAAUUUAAUUCGAAGGUGCCUAAACGAUCGUGGUCGCAAGGGCUUCAACUUGAACCAAACAAUUUCUUAUUCCAACUAGUUCUAUAAGUUCAACGCUGAGUGGGUUCCUGUUAGGGCGUUUUCAAUUUGCUACUUUUAAAGAAAACCAGAAGAGAAUGAGGUGUCUGUGGAGAAUGUCCUGGAGGAUAAUGAAGACGUCGCUGCCUAGACUCUCUAGGAAUUUCUGGGCUGUUAUGCCCCUAUGAACAUUUCUAAAUUAUGUUAUUUUGAGACACUUUCCAAUUUAUCUAGUUUGAAUUAGUUUAGCAUUCCACGCUUUUAGUUCCCCCUAAAUUCCUGGAUGACUGUAAUCCUGAUCUUUAUACUACUCUACUCUUGACUGCUUUCAAA